rnacentral:rRNA from 1 species
CUGCUGCCUUCCGUAGGAGUCUGGGCCGUGUCUCAGUCCCAAUGUGGCCGUCCGCCCUCUCAGGCCGGCUACUGAUCGUCGCCUUGGUAGGCCGUUACCCUCCCAACCAGCUAAUCAGACGCGGGCCCAUCUUAUACCACCUCAGUUUUUCACACUGCGUCAUGCGCCGCUGUGCGCUUAUGCGGUAUUAGCAGCUGUUUCCAGCUGUUAUCCCCCUGUAUAAGGCAGGUUGCCCACGCGUUA